rnacentral:rRNA from 1 species
UACAGAGGUCCCGAGCGUUGUUCGGAUUCACUGGGCGUAAAGAGUGCGUAGGUGGCAAGGUAAGUUUGAUGUGAAAGCUCAGGCUUAACCCUGAAAUGGCAUUGAAUACUACUGUGCUGGAGGUUUGGAGGGGGGGACUGGAAUUCUUGGUGUAGCAGUGAAAUGCGUAGAUAUCAAGAGGAACACCAGUGGCGAAGGCGAGUCCCUGGACAACACCUGACACUGAGGCACGAAAGCCGGGGGAGCAAACAGG